GUUAAUCGCCAUCUGCAGUGCCUGGAGGUGGGGUGGGGAGAAGUGAAGAAUCUCUUCCUUUUUAAUAGAUUUUCAAGAUGGGAAAAUCAUAUUGCAACCCACAGGCAUUUGGAAACAAUUUGUGCCGAAGACAGAAAGUACACCUAACGUUAAGCUGAAAAAACUGGACGCUCCCAGCAAACUCACUUUGCAGACUCCUGGUUGUCAGAAGAAAACGCCAGAGGAUUUCACUUGGCAUUGACCUCUUACUACUUCCAGCCACUUACCCUGGGCAGUAGAAAGAAGGAACAGAAAGCAGAGUAGAUUAAGAGGAGCAAGUACAAAUGGCGUGGGACUUCAAAUCACCACCUAAGAUUACUUCUUUGAUUUCUGAAAAAGUAGGUCAAAGGAAGAUGUCAGUGCUGGAGCAGAGGUACUGAAUGAGGAAGUGGAGUCUUGGGAUACCUUUGGAGGGAUCCAGUUAAUGGACUGGCUGCCAUAAUUGGUCUGAGACACUGGUGCAAGCAUGAGAAUGGGAAUCUACAGGUCUCUAUCCCUGGUGAGCCCGGAGGUUGAGUUUUCACAAGGGCAGCAAGAAGAAUCCCUUCUCCUCUUCCUGUCCACCUUCUGAAGAGGAGGAGACAGAGCCGGGUUGCAGAUCCUCACCAAAGUGGAUGCUGUUCCCAGAGGAAGGAAGGCCCCCCCGGGGCAAGGUUGCCAACAUGACCCCACAGAGACCAGGAACAAACGUUCUUGCCUUUGGACUUCACUUCUUCACAGAGCCAGAGUUACAGGCCAACCUGAAGAUGGUAUCAUGACUCACACACACUUAUUUCUCAGCCUCAGCCAGGCUCAAGAGCAAGACUGCUGAAGGAGGAAGGGCCCUUCAUGGCCUCCUCUGCCUCGUGACUGCUUUACCUGCCACUGAUGAGGCUUCCCUGGGAUGAGAUGGAGACGAGGGCACUGAAUGACUUUGAGUUAGGGGGACUCAAGAGGGUGAGGGCACCAUGAUCAUUACCCCUUCAGUCUCCUGUCUCCCUCUUGGCAUCUCUGCAACACAGAAGGCUGGCAAUGGUGAGAUAUUAUAUUGUCAAUUAUUCAAACUUUAGAAUUUUCUGAUGCCUCAACAUCCCUGCAAAUGGGCUGUGAGCACCUUGCCCAGGUGACCAGGUGCACCAGUGUGCUAAGGCUGGUCCGGGCCACAGGUUCCCCACUUUGUGCUCCCCUGACUGGGACCUAGUGACAUCAACACCACCAGUGCAAUCCCCUCACACCUUUUGCUUGUGGAUUCCCCUCUGAAGUCCAAUAAAGGCGCUUGUCUGAG
rnacentral:lncRNA from 1 species